GAGUCUGCAACCCGACUCCAUGAAGCUGGAUUCGCUAGUAAUCGCGCAUCAGCCACGGCGCGGUGAAUACGUUCCCGGGCCUUGUACACACCGCCCGUCAAGCCAUGAAAGCCGGGGGUACCUGAAGUGCGUAACCGCGAGGAGCGCCCUAGGGUAAAACUGGUGAUUGGAGCUAAGUCGUAACAAGGUAGC
rnacentral:rRNA from 1 species